GCAAUUGCACAAUGACCAAUAUACUACCAUUGAGAAUCUCAGAGUUCUUUAUAGUUCUUUAUGUUAUUCAUCACAGCAUAUUAUACAAUUUCAUUCCCCUUUUCCAUAUAAAGAAAAUAGACAUAUAGACAUUGGAUUAUUUCUCUGCUGUAACAUUUCUACUGCUUUGGAUGGUAUUUUAAGAAUAUUCAGUAUUGAUUAACUUCAUCCUUCUGUUUUGGACACUAGCAUAGGCUGUAAUUAGGAAUCUUUCCACUCUUGUUCUUUUUUUUCCCUGUAGAGUGGAAUGGGGAAACAGGCUACAGAUGUCAAACAUCUUCUUGAAGUGGUCUAUCUACAUUGGCUGACAGUAGGGAAAAUGAAUGCUAUCAUAAGACUGGAGGAGGUGAAAGAGGGGCUUUUGGAUAUCCAUUAUUCAAUAUUGGACUUUUAAAGAAAAAUGAAUGGUCUCUCCAAACUAAAUUAAGAAUGAAGACAAAUAUUCUUCAGUAGAUACUAAAUGGAUCUAAAUUGCUCACUUUUGAAGACCUAGUUUAAAAUGACUUGAUUCUUUCCAGGAGUAAAGACAUCAUUAUUCCCUGAUUCAGGGUCAAAUCUAAUGCCUUCUUCAUUCAUAGACAAUGCUGUGCUAGUAAAUGUUUAACAACUGAGUCUCCAAAGAGAGCCUGAUGCACUUUUAAAUUUAAUUUGCAUUAUUAACAUUUUCCCCAUCAUUUUCUUAAGUCUAGGCAACAAAUAAAACAAUAAACCAAGUUUUGGUUUAUAUAGUU
rnacentral:lncRNA from 1 species